UGUUCUCGGUGCCCCUCGGGCUUGAGCCGCCGCAACUCCGGAGGGGCCGGGCAGUGCCCGGGGGCGCUUUUGCGCGCGGAGGGACUGCGGGAGCAGGAUCUGGUCUCUGGAGAGCCAAACACCUUAUUGAAAUUUGAGGAGGGAUCUAUCUUCUCAGAGAGCUGGGCUGGAGAAGACUGAAGGUCAAGCUUAGAAGCCUGAGUGAUUCCCCAGAGAACGUGAAUGAUGGCCUCAGAGGUACCGAGAGUAACCACUCCUCUGAGCCCCUUAGUCCAGGUGCCUCAAGAGGAAGACGAGCAGGAAGAGGAGGUUGCUACCAUGAUCCUGGAGGAUGACUCCUGGGUGCAGGAAGCUGUGCUGCAGGAGGACGGCCCUGAUUCCGAGCACUUCGCCCAGAGUGCUGGCAAGGGCAGCCCCCACGAGGAGGGGGCCGGAGGGCCUCAGGGUGCCCUUGGCCGUCUUCGAGAGCUCUGUCGGCGCUGGCUGAGGCCAGAAGUCCACACCAAGGAGCAAAUGCUGACCAUGCUGCCAAAGGAGAUUCAGGCCUGGCUGCAAGAGCACCGCCCUGAAAGCAGCGAGGAGGCAGUGGCCCUGGUGGAAGACUUGACCCAGACUCUUCGGGACAGUGAUUUUGAGAUCCAGAGUGAAAACGGGGAGAACUCUAACCAAGAUAUCUUUGAGGACGUGGAAUCACAUGUGGUGUUCUCAGAAUUGCCUGAUGGGGGAGGCAUCCCACAGGCUGACUGGGAAAGUGACCUGGAGAGACACUGUGGCUCCUGGGGGGCCCGGGGACGUGCCCCCCGGGAGGACCGUGGGGAGGUGCCACCCCAGGGCAGGGAGGCUGGGCAGCUCAUAGGCCUUCAGGGUACCUACCUGGGUGAGAAGCCCUAUGAAUGUCCCCAGUGUGGGAAAACCUUCAGCCGGAAGUCCCACCUCAUCACGCACGAGCGGACCCACACAGGAGAGAAAUACUACAAAUGCGACGAGUGCGGAAAGAGCUUUAGCGAUGGUUCCAACUUCAGUAGACACCAGACUACUCACACGGGGGAGAAGCCGUACAAGUGCCGGGACUGCGGGAAGAGCUUCAGCCGGAGCGCCAACCUCAUCACCCACCAGAGGAUCCACACGGGGGAGAAGCCCUUUCAGUGCGCGGAGUGCGGCAAGAGUUUCAGCCGGAGCCCCAACCUCAUUGCCCACCAGCGGACUCACACUGGGGAGAAGCCCUACUCGUGCCCCGAGUGCGGGAAGAGCUUCGGGAACCGGUCCAGCCUCAACACGCAUCAGGGCAUCCACACGGGCGAAAAGCCCUACGAGUGCAAAGAAUGCGGCGAAAGCUUCAGUUACAACUCCAACCUCAUCAGGCACCAGAGGAUCCACACGGGGGAGAAGCCCUACAAGUGUCCCGACUGCGGGCAGAGGUUCAGCCAGAGCUCGGCGCUCAUCACCCACCGGAGAACUCACACGGGAGAGAAACCCUACCAGUGCGGUGAGUGCGGCAAGAGCUUCAGCCGCAGCUCCAACCUGGCCACGCACCGGCGGACGCACCUGGUGGAGAAGCCCUACAAGUGCGGCGAGUGCGGCAAGAGCUUCAGCCAGAGCUCCAGCUUGAUCGCGCACCAGGGGAUGCACACGGGGGAGAAGCCCUACGAGUGCCUGACGUGCGGGGAGAGCUUCAGCUGGAGCUCCAACCUCAUCAAGCACCAGCGGAUCCACACGGGCGAGAAGCCCUACAAAUGCAGCGAGUGCGGGAAGGGCUUCAGCCAGCGCUCGCAGCUGGUGGUGCACCAGCGGACCCACACGGGCGAGAAGCCCUACAAAUGCCUCAUGUGCGGCAAGAGCUUCAGCCGGGGCUCCAUCCUGGUCAUGCACCAGAGGGCCCACUUGGGGGACAAGCCGUACAGGUGUCCCGAGUGCGGGAAGGGCUUCAGCUGGAACUCAGUCCUCAUCAUACACCAGCGAAUCCACACGGGGGAGAAGCCCUACAAAUGCCCCGAGUGCGGCAAAGGCUUCAGCAACAGCUCCAAUUUCAUUACCCAUCAGAGGACUCACAUGAAGGAGAAGCUUUACUGAAGGGGCGGAGAGGGAAAGCGAGGGGACUGGCCUGAGAGAGGGACUUGCCACAGUGCCCACAUUCUUCCCAAAGGCUUGUGGGGGGGUUUUUCCAGAAUCCUACCCCUGUUCAUCCUCACUUCUAGGAUCCCAUCGUGGUCAUCGUAGUGGUCAGAGGCAGACCCCGAGGACAGAGCAUAGGAGUGGAAGGUGGGAAAGCUGGGGCUUUCACUCUUUGACUCUUGACAUUUCUCAAGCUGACUGGCUCCCUCUCUCCUGACCCUCUGUGCCUCGUUUCCUCUUUGGUAGAACCCAGGGGGAACUGUUUCCUCAUGUGGAAUAGAAGACAGCAUGGCCCACAUUUCCGAGAAAUACCAGAAAUCUGCUGGUGUGGUGGUGGGGUGGUUCCAUGGCCACUCACUGGGCUAAGAUGCCUUUACCUGAGCUGCUGCCUCCUCUGUCCCCUGCCAUGGCAGAAACGGCUCUUCCUGCCCUCCUGUCCGGGGCUUUGAUUUCGGGGGAAAGUGGAGGGGCUUCUCCAGUUCUGAGUCAUCCACGUGACGGUAAAGCCCUUUUCUAGUUCUAGAAAGCAUCAGGAACACCGAGAGACACGAGGGAGUCUGGCCUGGAACCAGUGUCCCGGAACCUUUCCAUUGAUAUGGGUUGUACAGGGCCUGCCAGGAAAGGCAUAAACGGAGGAGCUGUAUGUGUUUGAUCUUGCCUCUGCUUACCAUCCUGGGAAUUUCAAGUUCUACUUAGACUCCUAUCUGAAGGUGGCUCCCCAUUGAGGUAAAAGAAGAGGUUUGAACUUAAGAGCACAAUGCACAGGUCUUUUCUGAUCUGAACAAUGGCUAUAGCUGUGGCUCCCCAAAUCCAGACUCCUCAAGUACAAGAAGAGCUUCAAAGAGUGAAGCUGGAAGAUUCCCACUGGGAGCAGAAAGUCUUCCUUCAAAGGCAUGACCCUGGACCUGAGACCUGCCAGCGCUUUUGGUAUUUUCACUAUCAAGAAGCAUCUGGACCCUGGGAGGCCCUCAACACCUGGAGUUCUAUCAUCAAUGGCUGAGACCAGAGAGGUGUAUGAAAGAGCAGUUCCUGGACUUGCUAGUCCUGGAACAGUUCCUGUCCUUCCCCAGGAGAUCUAGAUCUGGGUUAGACAAAAGCAUCCACAGAGUGGAGAGGAGGCAGGAAUCUGCCCUGGUGGAAGAUUGGCAGGAAGAACCUGGAAGACAGGGGCGGCAGGCAGUGGUGGCGAUCUCACAGUCAGAACCAGAAGACCAGAUGAUCCACAAUCCCAAAGUGCAACUUGGACCCUUCCGCAAGAUCAGCACUGUUUUGAGCAGGAGUGGCAUGUUUUCUCAGGAGUUGGUGACACUUGGCAGUGUGGCUGUGCAUGUCCCCCAGGAGGCACAGAGGCAGCUGGAACCUUGCUAGAGGAACCACCUGGAAAUAAGUUGGGAGAGGUCUGCAGAUGGGGCCUCACUAGAUUUUCUAACCCACAGACUGGAUGUGAGCUUCCACAUGUUGCAGGAGGCAAAACCACAGAGCCCAGAUCUUCCGUGCUCUGGAGAGGAGAGUAUGAGAGACUCCCCGGUGGGUCAGGGGAGAGUCUAGCCUGGCCAGGUGCCUGUCUUGAGAAAAGCCAAGACCCAGGACGGGCUGGAGAGCAGGGCCCGGAGGAUGAGAGGUGGCAGGGGUGCACUGGGGCGAUGAGGAAACCAAGACUUUUUUGGGAAUUCUCAGUGAUUCCUGGAUUCAUGAAAAACUGCACCUGCCUUUGGAACUGCCGGCUGUACCGGAUUGUGGCUGUGCGGCUGCGGGAACGUGGUUUCCUACAGACCCUGGAACAGUAUCUCUACCAGUUCAAAAUCCUCCAGACCAAGUACCACAAAGUCAGGAGCACCCACACCCCAGGCACCUGCCCCUUCGGUGAUGAGGUGGAUGCCCUGAUGAGUCCCUGGACCUUUGCCAUCACCUGACAUCUUGGAGGUGGCAGAAGGCAUUCUGUGGAUUAGAGGAGUCUCCAGAGAGAACCAGAAAGCAGGGACAGGGAUGGUAGUGAAAUGAUGGAACCCCAAGGGGAGCCCAGGAGUCUUGGCCCCCAGGCUUGGAGGAGAAUCCCAGUGACCUUCUGGGACCUUCCUUUCUCAUCCCACCUGCCACGUGCAGAUAUGAGGACAGAAGGCGCAUUACCUAAGGACCCCAUGUCUCUCCUCGCUCGUCCUUGAGCAGGACUCCCAGUUCCCCUGCCAGAUGGGCUUUCCAGCCUGGGGAGAAGCGAAGGACUCUGGAACGACAGUCUCCAGGAUCCCGAGGAGAUUCGGAAGACUUCCUGUGCAGAUCCUGAAGCAAGGACAGAAUGAGGAGAAUUCAAGCCAGGACAUUUCGGAGGAAGCAGAGCUACCCAGAGUGUUGUUAGGAAGAUCCAAAAUGGACCUUUCCCAAUACCUUCGCUGGAGGAAAGAUGGGGGAAGUGAAUAUGGGGCAGAGACGCAACGGGAAAUGGCCUUAGAUGAUGGACAAGAGUCUCUCUCCUGUCCUCAGGGAACCCAUGUUGGCGAAAAACCCAGUAUCUGCUGUGCCUGUGGGAAACGUUUCAGCCUGAGUUCCCACUUAGCUGUCCCCAGAUUAGCCCACCUCCAUACUGGGGAGACGUGCUGUAAGUGUGGGGAGCGCUGGAGAAGCUUCAUCCAGAGCUCCAGCCUUAUUACGCAUCAGAGAAUCCACAUGGGAGAGAAACCCCCUAAGUGUGGUGAGUGUGGAGAGUGUUUCACCAGCAGCUCGCACUUCGGGGCACACUGGCGAAUGCACACUGGCAAAGACCCCGCCGGUGCCCUGACUGUGGGAAAAGGUUCAGUAAGAGUUCCACCCUCAAAACACUGUAAACCAGCUAUAAUGGAAAAAAAAAAAAGAGUUCCACCCUCCCCUGCCAUCACGAGAGAAACUCUGUGGAUGUCUGGAGCGUGGGCAAGUUUCAGUGACCGCUCACACCUCGUACCCAGGGGCAAAUACCCAAGGGAGAGCCCCUGCAGGUGCGGGGAGUAUGGGAAAGGCCUCGGUCAGCUCAGGUCUUACUCUUCACCAGAGAAGCCACACGGAGAGAAACCCUGGGACUGUGCAGCAUGCGGGAGGCGACUCAACAACUGCUCACGUUUUAGUGCACGUUGGAGAACACGCGUGUCUUUCAAGCAUCAGGUCUGAAAACACUGGAAUCCUCCUCCAAAGGGGUUUGUGUUCCGUACCAUGACCCCCACAGGAGAUGGAGAGAGAAUUCAGGUCCCUGCCCAACAGGCUGAAUUUAUUUCUCAUAAAUACACAUUCGGAUUGUGAAAUACUACUCGGGGCUUUCUAGGCCAGGCCGUUAAAAAUGGAAGCUAAUUUCCAGGGGAUUCAGAGAUGAUGAUUUCUGUUUUUUGUCUUUUUAGCGCCACACCCCGGGCAUAUGGAGGU